AGCUUUGGAGUCACGCGGCGGCCGCAGUCGGUCCUCUCAAACCGCGAAAUACAUUCCGGCUCCCUCGAGGAAGAACAUCCUGGGGGUGGGUUAACUCGCGUUUUCGCGUUGUCUCGUGUAUGUGUCUCGUGCUCGGUUCUCUUUCAUUUUUUCACAAAUUUCUAAACCAAUCCUUGUUUUUUCCCCUCCUGCUGAUCGCAUACCAUGGCGUCUUUGAUGAAAAUUUGACGAAUGAAACACGUACGAAAGUACGAAUAGAACACGAAAGACAAAAGUUACUGAUAAGAAGAUUCUUUCAAGUGUUUCUUCAUUUAAACGGAUUGGAAAGACCGUGUUUACGCGCGACGUUACGUUCAACAUGUCUUGCUCGAAACAUUCCCGUCAAAAAAAAAAAAAAAUACUUGUCACGGUUUUUCAUAAAGUUUAAUACGAUGGAUCUUGCAGUUAAAGUUGACGUUUAAUAUGAUUCGUACGACGUUGAGAGUUCGGUAUAGUUAUAAGUUGAAACAUGUGAAAUAGUCAAUCGGUGGGAUAGUAGCAAGUAAUCAAAAGUGAUUUUCAGAAAGAAGAGCAAUUUGUCUAAUAAUAAAAGUGCAAAGUCUCUUUGAAGAUUUCGUAUCUUUGAUAAUGCGCGGGCGCGUGCACGCCCGCGAUCUUCAGUAAUAAUUUGAUCGUCGAGAAAAAAAGAAGAAAUUAGAUCUAGUGGUGACAAUUCGUGGAGAAAGUUGCUUGAUAUUUUCGCGGAAGGCUAAACGUCCGGACGUCCUCUUUACAAGUUGGAAAGGGGGCUUGUCAGUUCUCGUAAAGAGCAAUCCAACAUUUGCAAAUUUCUUGAGGAAAUUAUAGAACGAAACGACGAAAGUAUUUUUUGUGUCCGAUUUGACGGUGUACCGUGCUUCUCUGUGUUGUUCAGGGAGAGGAUGCGACUUUAGAUCGGGCAAGUGUGAGAAGAAAGAAAAACGACGAAAAAAAACGAGAAAGGAAAGGAAGAAGAAAAAGUGGAAGAGGAGGAGGAGGAGGAGGAGGAAGAGGUGGAGGAGGAAGAAAUUAGAAAACGCGAACGAGCUAGGAAUUCGAUCGAUUAUCGUUCGGUUCGCUUCGCGAUUUUUGAAGAAAAAAUUUUUAAAGUGCUCGAGACUCGACUCGCGUAUUUUUAUGAGUCACGAGUAUAUAUGUAUACGUAUAUAUACGGAUAUAUUAUGUUCGCCGUCUGUCUAUAUAUAUAUAUAUACACACAUAUAUAUUAUAUAUAUACCUAUAUAGAAGUUAUAUAGUUUUUAUCGAGAUUUCUCGCAUACAGGGAGAAUCAAAGAUUUAAUUUUACAUUUUCCUUUUCUUUUGCCUUAAUUACGGACAUAUUCUUUUGAAUAUUAUCGUUACCAUGGGGGAAAAUACGCUCACAUAAAUGUAGAUCUACGUGUUAAUUAAGAUAAUCAAAAAUAAGAAAAUGCACACGCGUCCAUUCCUACGGAGAAAAAAUCUUCGCUUCUUAGUCCGACAUUUAUUCGGCGCGGAGCAAUUAAAUCGGACGGUAUUAUCUUCUCGUUUAAUCGUGCAUCUCUAAUUAAGCCUUUGGGCGCACGCGCAUAUAUGUACACUCGUUGAUAAAGAGACCCUCUCUACUAGAAAUUACGAAAACCCGACGAAAAAUUUUCUAACAUCGUCAUCGUCGACAACACUUUCGGCCUUCGACGCAACGAUUCCGACAAAUUUCGAAAGAGAGAGAGAGAGAGAGAGAGAGAGAGAGAGAGAGAGGGAGGGGGGGGGGGGGGAGAGAGUCUUUGCCAUUUAAAAAUCAAUAAAAUCUCCGUAGUAGACUCGGCGAGUCAGAGCGUUAUUAAAACUCACGAACUCUUUACGUUCGUUCGAAUCGAUUUCUUCACAAGGUAAAUUUUUAUACGAAGCAAGAGGAUAUUUCCGUAUCCGAUUUCAAAAGUUUCAAAUAGAAACGAUGGAAGUUUUAAAUAUUUCAUACUCGAGAAAGAGAGGGUUAGAAAUACGGAGAGAAUUGCUAAAAUUAUACCAAUGAAAAUAUUUUAUAUCACAUUUCAUAUUUGAUAUUCUCACUUUUAUGCGAGAUCAUUUUGUAAAUUGCUAUUUAAGACGUCUAUAUUUACUGUUACAUGCUUUGUAUUUUGAUGCUGAUUAAUUAUGCCAAUCACAUAAAUAUCUUAACAAUUUUUUGUUCCGUCAGGAAUGAUUUCUUUGUUUUUUGUAACGUAUUCAAAUUUGCGAAAGAGAGAAAUUUUUGUUUAUCUUCGAUUAUCCGGGAAAAACAGAACGUGAAUCAUAAAACGUAUUUGGGCUGAACAAUCAUUCGGCUAAAUCGUAUCUUUCCGCUCAAAGUAGUAAAUAAGUGAAAGUGAAUCAAUGAAGAUAAAAUAAAACACCGAAUAACGUGUUUUACACUCUCGUUAUCAACUGUACGGGACUAUUUACCCUGUAAGGGAUUAUUCAUAGAAAAGGAUUUUAAUUCUAUGAUAAUACCUUGCGUAUAAACAGAAACAGCGUACAUCGAAUAGGAAUCUUUUUAUUACUAAAUAUUUCUGUAAAGGAUCGUAACUAUAUCAGACCUAUAUGCCAGACCUAUGACACGCCAUGUAUUCCUUAU